rnacentral:miRNA from 5 species
UAUCACAGCCAGCUUUGAUGG